UGGGCCUGGCGGCCGGACAGGCAGGGCGGCGGCGGGCUCAAGGCCUGCGGCGGCGCAGGCGUCGGCAGCGCGAUCCGUGUUCCGACCGCGACGGGUUCGG
rnacentral:tRNA from 1 species